rnacentral:rRNA from 1 species
GAUGAACGCUGGCGGCGUGCCUAAUACAUGCAAGUCGAGCGGACCAAAGAGAGCUUGCUCUCUGAGGUUAGCGGCGGACGGGUGAGUAACACGUGGGUAACCUGCCUGUAAGACGGGGAUAACUUCGGGAAACCGAAGCUAAUACCGGAUGAUAAAGAGAAACGCCUGUUUCUUUUUUGAAAGUCGGCCUUGUGCUGACGCUUACAGAUGGGCCCGCGGCGCAUUAGCUAGUUGGUGAGGUAACGGCUCACCAAGGCGACGAUGCGUAGCCGACCUGAGAGGGUGAUCGGCCACACUGGGACUGAGACACGGCCCAGACUCCUACGGGAGGCAGCAGUAGGGAAUCUUCGGCAAUGGGCGAAAGUCUGACCGAGCAACGCCGCGUGAGCGAUGAAGGCCUUCGGGUCGUAAAGCUCUGUUGUCAGAGAAGAACAAGUACCGGAGUAACUGCCGGUACCUUGACGGUACCUGACCAGAAAGCCACGGCUAACUACGUGCCAGCCGCCGCUGUAA